GACGAACGCUGGCGGCGUGCUUAACACAUGCAAGUCGAACGGAAAGGCCCUGCUUUUGUGGGGUGCUCGAGUGGCGAACGGGUGAGUAACACGUGAGUAACCUGCCCUUGACUUUGGGAUAACUUCAGGAAACUGGGGCUAAUACCGGAUAGGAGCUCCUGCUGCAUGGUGGGGGUUGGAAAGUUUCGGCGGUUGGGGAUGGACUCGCGGCUUAUCAGCUUGUUGGUGGGGUAGUGGCUUACCAAGGCUUUGACGGGUAGCCGGCCUGAGAGGGUGACCGGCCACAUUGGGACUGAGAUGCGGCCCAGACUCCUACGGGAGGCAGCAGUGGGGAAUAUUGCACAAUGGGCGGAAGCCUGAUGCAGCAACGCCGCGUGCGGGAUGACGGCCUUCGGGUUGUAAACCGCCUUCGCCUGUGACGAAGCGUGAGUGACGGUAAUGGGUAAAGAAGCACCGGCUAACUACGUG
rnacentral:rRNA from 1 species